UACGUAGGGGGCUAGCGUUGUCCGGAAUCAUUGGGCGUAAAGCGCGUGUAGGCGGCCCGGUAAGUCCGCUGUGAAAGUCGGGGGGCUCAACCCUCGGAUGCCGGUGGAUACUGUCGGGCUAGAGUGCGGAAGAGGCGAGUGGAAUUCCUGGUGUAGCGGUGAAAUGCGCAGAUAUCAGGAGGAACACCAAUUGCGAAGGCAGCUCGCUGGGACGUUACUGACGCUGAGACGCGAAAGCGUGGGGAGCAAACAGG
rnacentral:rRNA from 1 species